GGGGGGGGGGGGGGGGGGGGGGGGGGGGGGGGGGGGGGGGGGGGGGGGGGGGGGGGGGGGGGGGGGGGGGGGGGGGGGGUUUUUUUUUUUUUUUUUUUUUUUUGCUUAAAAGCAGGAUUUAAGAAGAAAUUUCCCAUUUUGCCUAGCUUAUCACUGGGUCUGGAAUGGCUUCACUGGCAGGAAUGCAGGUUUCUGGGUGGGGCACUUCAGCCAAUCAUAUUUAUUUGAGAAGAUCUCUCAGACAUUUGAACUUGACCCUGUUUCCUGCCAAUAACACCUGGCAAGAGAGCUAGUUCUCAUUUUCAGCUGUUACCUGGCAUGAAUUUGCACAGAAGAUCCUCCCCUGUCAUCAGAAAGCCAGAAAAAUCCAUUCAGAUUAGGAGACGGAAGGAGAUUUAGAGAGUCUCUCUUGGAUCAUGCUUGUGCCUUCACAAAAGCCAUAUUUUUAUUAUGCCCUUACAUAACCUGUCCCCUGUUUCAAAUACAGCUUGAAAAAAACCUCCUUCGUACAAGCACACGACCAGCUGAGUAAAUAAAAAAACCUGUUGAACUUGUGGAUUGUACUUAGUGAGGCCCUAACUAUUUUGAUACAUGUGCCUGCAUAGCAA
rnacentral:lncRNA from 12 species